rnacentral:ncRNA from 2 species
CGCAUCCGACCGGGAGAGAAUCCGGUCAGGGGUCAGACCCCUGACUCGAUCGCCGAAGGGGUAGCACCCGCAAACUCUCAGGCAAAAGGACCGAUCGGACCCG